rnacentral:lncRNA from 1 species
ACCAACGCCACUACGAUUAUAUAAACACACACACACAACCCCAAAAGGGGAAAAAAGACCAAACAAAAUGGCUUCGCUCAGAAGUAUGAAUAAGAUGGCUUAUCCAUACUCUUCUCCACCACCACCUCCACCAUCUCCUCCAUGCAGCCCCCCUCCGCCGCCGCCACCACCACCAUCUCCUCCAUGCAACCCUCCACCUCCACCUCCUCCAUGCAACCCUCCGCCUCCGCAUUCUCCACGAUGCCAAGAUAAAAAGCACUGCGGCCACCACAAACCACCCACCGCCCCUUCUCCGGCGCCGUCUCAUAAUCACCCACCACACCACCACCACCACCACCACCACCAUCACAAGCCCUCGGCGCCACCAGCACCGGCACCAGCACCAAAGCCUAGCGUUCCUACAAAGCCCCCACACACCCCGGCCGCACCACCAAAAUCGCCGCCACCUUCAUCAAAGUGUCCACCGCCACCACCCAAAUCCGAAACACCUUCUCAUCCGCCGGAAAAACCAGCAUAUCCACCCAAAACACCACCACAUCACCACCCACCCUCACCAGCACCAAAACCUAGUGUUCCGGCAACACCUCAUUAUCCGCCAACCAACCCCGCGCCUCCGCCAGAUUCGCCGCCAUCACCAUCACCAAAACCCGGUGUUCCGGCCAAGCCUCCGAAGCCACAGACACCUCAUUAUCCGCCAAAAUCACCACCAACGGCCCAGCGGCACCACCAAAAUCGCCACCAGGUUCAUCACAUCAUCCACCGUCACCAUCACCAAAACCCGGUGUUCCGGCCAAGCCUCAUGCACCUCAUUAUCCGCCAAACGGCCCGGCAACACCGCCAAAAACACCGCCACGUGGGCCGGCGGCACCACCAAAAUGGGCGCCGGGACCAAAGCCUUAUCAUCCGAUAACACCACCAGGAAUGCCGGCCUAUCCACCAUACUAUCCGGGAGCCCCAGUAUAUCCACCAGCUCCCAACUCCCUCACUCCAUUUUCGCCGCCCUCAAAUACUAUUCUUACACCGCCUCCUAAUGGCGGAGGUGGCGGCAACAACCACACCACCGUGAUUGCGGUGUGUGUUUCUUUAGGUGGAUUGUUCUUCCUUGCUUUCAUAGCAGUCGGCCUCUUCUGCUUAGCCAAGAAAAAGAAGAAGCCUAUCAUGGUUCCAGCUGCCGCAGGUCACCAUGCUCAUCAUGCCGAACCUGCUCAUCAUUAAAACGGGUGUGUUUCAUCAAAGAGAUUGCUAAAUUUGUUUGUUUGUUUUUUUUUCUUUUCUUUUUUCAAUCUUUUGAUGCAGUGAUAUACUAUUUGUUAUUUGUUGCACUAAGAUAUUCAAUAAAUUAAUUGUUGGAAGUGACAGUGGGGGUUGUAUUCUUCUUGAUUUCGUGGGUGUUGCAUCAAAUAAGUUGGACGACAAUGUAAUGUUUACAAUAUUAAUUGAUAAGUGGUCAUUUCUUAUAAUUUGUUGCAAUUUACCUUUUCAUUAUCUCCGAUGUUGCAGAUCAUCUGUCUAUGCAUUUUAUUUUAUGGAAAUAAAUGUAAUGAUACAAGAUAUAUAAAUAUAUUCAGAUGUUCAAGAAAAUGUCCCAAUCCGCACAAAAACAAAAAACAAAGGAAAUGCAUGUCGUUCUUUUUAGUUGAAGAAAUUGUCAUAAUUAAGUAUAUAUACUUGUUACGAAGAUUUAAUUGCGA